AUUGAACGCUGGCGGAAUGCUUUACACAUGCAAGUCGAACGGCAGCACGGGGCAACCUGGUGGCGAGUGGCGAACGGGUGAGUAAUACAUCGGAACGUGCCCAAUCGUGGGGAUAACGUAGCGAAGUUACGCUAAUACCGCAUACGAUCUACGGAUGAAAGCGGGGAUCGCAAGACCUCGCGCGAGUGGAGCGGCCGAUGUCAGAUUAGGUAGUUGGUGGGGUAAAGGCUCACCAAGCCAACGAUCUGUAGCUGGUCUGAGAGGACGACCAGCCACACUGGAACUGAGACACGGUCCAGACUCCUACGGGAGGCAGCAGUGGGGAAUUUGGACAAUGGGCGCAAGCCUGAUCCAGCCAUUCCGCGUGCAGGAUGAAGGCCUUCGG
rnacentral:rRNA from 1 species